ensembl:lncRNA
CCCCACCCCCCCCCCCCCGCUCUCCCACAUUCACCAGCGACAUGGCAUUUGCGCUGCUGAGGAGAAUGUGAGCUAAUGAAAGUGUAAAGCCUGUGGUCACUAGAGUAUAAAAUUCACAUUUAGCCAAGACAGGCUGUGCAAUCUGAUAUUAUGAGCCCUGCUGCAGAGAGAGAGCAGGAAACUGAAGGAGAGUGCUGGAAAUAGUACUCAAGAAAGACAACCACGGGAGAAAGACAGAAGUGAACUGAUUUCAUGCUACCGACAGCAGGAGCUUUUUGUUUUCUCCUUAUUCAUCGUUGUGGUGGAAUAGUUAAAGGCUGGCAGAGAAAUCUACAACACUGGCUGUGUCAAUGUGGAGUAAAAAUGUAAAAUGGUGGGGACCAGUUUAAACAGACCCCUAGAGGAGGUGGCUCAGUCUUUCCCCAAAAGAAAGGAGGGAUGCAGAGACAAGCGCUGCCCAAGGUACCGCUCGCUGCCAUCUUGUUUCUUGUUUACACGGAGCCGUCGCUUGCCCUCGUCAAAUGGAGGUUUGCUGUGGACAGGAAUGAGGUCAUUUAAGGACGCGACACAGCUCUGAAACAAGUUAAUAAAAGCAUACGCUUCUUUCUGCUGCCAUGAAGCCCACAGCCCUGUAGAUGGAGAGAUGUCUGUACAAAUAAAUGAAUGAAACCUAAUUAGAUCUCUGUAGUACCUCUAACAGCUCCUGCUGCAGUCAAGGUUACUUAUCACAAACUCGUCUUUCCCAUCUCCUCGCUCGGCAGCGCAGUUCCCCCAUUUACUUUCUUUCAAGAAGAAGUUAUUAAAAGAAGUCAUCAGUACAAAAUAAAGCAGCAUAAUAUUAUCUACGAGGCAGCACUCAAAUUAAGUAACGGCAGGAUGCCUUUCGUCAGUGUUUUGUUGAAUCAUUAGCUCCACUUCGUGCAGGUCAAAAGUUCACGCACGUUAAGAGCGGUUGACCCAUUUUCUCUGUGAAACUUCUUCAGUUGGUCCUCUAGCCUCUGUCCACUCGCAUUAAUCACUGGUGGCUGUUCUCAGUGGUGAAAUACUACAGCGUGUCAUGAAAGAAAAGAGGCUGACUCAUUUCAUCAUUACCUGCAGCAUGAGGUUGUGUUUUGGGUUUGGGUUUUUGUCAGCGGGUUAAUAGGAUGACCCGAGGACCAACGUGGCUCCAUAACAGAAGGUUUUAUUUCAUAGCUACCAUGCAUAACUAGAGUGAUUUCCAGAGCUGAAAUAUAAGGCUAUUGACCUUUAAAAAAUAAAAGUAAGGGUUUAUGCAACAUUUAAAUAGAAAAAGGAGCCACCACAUGAUCGACCACAACCUCAAAACCAAAAAACCAAUAAAAAAAUGAAUUACUAUUUUGUCUUUAGUAAACAGUCUGGGGCUGCUAGUCUCCCAGCUCCCUCUACCAUCCAUCGUAUCUGUUAUUAUCAUUAAAAUAAUGAACAUCUUCCCCGGGAGUCCAGACCUGGACCCACCAACACGAUGCUGGUGGUGGUAGGGGCAUGCAUGGCACUCUGUGUGUAACCAUGGUGAUUCAUCAGCAGUCUGUGUCUCAGUCAUUGGCUCAGAGGAGGCAGAGAAGAUAGGCUCGGAUGUAAUGGAGGCAUGACGCUUGUUGUUCCCCAGCAGAACAGGGUACGUGUGCAGGGUGAACAUCGCGCAGGGCCAAGCUGACAAUUACAAUCAGGCAGGAGCAAAAAUUACAGCCAUACCUACGUGAUUGCACGCUAUCGUAUUUCGGCCAACACAAACUCUGCUGGCCCUCAGUCUGAUGCCCUCCAUUUAGCACAACGUGUAGUAUAUGGUACUCAUACUCAUACAUACUCAGCAAAACAUAUGAGGCGGCUCUUUUUCUUUUUUAUCGACUUCAGUCGGGGUGUAUGUAGGCCAGCAUGUGUGUGUGAGAGCGCACUGGCCCUUCAGCUAUAGGCCAUCAUUGUUAUGUUAUUGUUAUGGGGAGACCUCUCUUUCUAUCUCGGCAGUCGUACCAUCUCCCAUAUUGUUGUACAACCAGGUGGAGCGGUCUGUGUGUGCGCUUUCUAGGUCUCAGGUGGUGAGAACCAGGCUUGUUCAGCAGAUCUUGGGUCUCUAAGAGCUCCGCUCAGACACACAUAGGUCACAGUAUGGUACAAAGGGAAAGAUCAGGAUUUAUAGGGAGCAGCCGGAAAACAGGCUGAUAGAAAACAACAUUAAAAUGCGCUGUUUCAUGUAAAUGUAGAUAUGGUAUAACUAAUGUACAAUCAAAAUUGUACGUAAUUAGACAUUUAUGUAGAGAGUGUAUUAACUUAUGAACACUAUAUGUAUAUAUGUAUAUUAAAAAAAAAGUAUUCAUAUAUAUAUAUAUAUAUAUAUAAAUACUUUUUUUUUUGUAAAUGAAAAUAAAUAUUUCACAAAUUAAAUAUAAUUAUUCAAAAAAAUUACUAAAAUCCUCGUUCAAUAAAAUAUUUUUCAAACUCACAAAAUUGGAAUUUAUCUAAAAUGUCCGUUUGAAUUUACAAUGCAUAAUAUGGAAAAAUAUUGCAUAUUUAUUGUCCGUGAUGUGCUGCACUAGGUGUACAAGAAUUAUGUUCGACUCAGUAACACUGUAUUACGCUGGUGAAAAUAUUUUGAGUUAUAGGAAAGUGAUCAUAGUAGUGUCAUAGUAGUGCUGUUAUGACAAAACUAUUAUUAAAAAACAUUUAAAAACAACUUUACAUUAUAUGAAUAAAAGGAUACACAAAGAAUGUAUGUAUUAAAAAAAUACAUGAAUAUAUAUAUUUUUUUAAUGUAUUGACAUGAAUAUAUAUGAGAAUGUGUGUAUGUUUUUUUCAGAAUGACAUGAAUGAAUGAAAGUAUUAGUAUAAGUAAGAUAUUUUACGAAAGAAAGAAACACUUUUGCACUUUUGCUGCAGCUCAGUUACCUAAUUUUUACAGUGGCACUUGAUAACUUUUAUAAUGUUAAAUGUUGAUGUUGGUGCCAUGCACCCUAUCAAAUCCAAAUUUCCCAUUUUACUUACUACUGUAUAAUUAAUAAGAACCAAAAAUUGAACAAACGUGUCUGUGAUUUUAACAUCCAUGCAUGACAUGGCUUUUACUUACACAUUCUUACAAUUGAACUAUUAUAAAUUGUAGUAGUAAUCGUAACAUUGUUGUAUAUAUGUUUAUUGAAACAUUUGUCUACUGAAACUUAAGGAAUAUCUGCGAGAAGCAUUAAAAUAAAUACUAAACUAUACUACUAUAUGUUUAGACGGUUGACUGACCUCUUGUUGCUACGACAAAAACAGACAUGGAAGAAUGUAAUGUAACAUUGAAUUGACAUUGCUAUUUUUUCUACUAUAGAAAUGCAACUAUAAUUCAUGGACAUGCUUUUUGCUUGAAUGUCCUUUGCAUAAAGCGUCCAUUAUGUUGGGGGUGAAAGUAAAACAUUUUUAAAAACAGAAAGUAAGUAUUUCUGCUACCCCCCCUACGAGUAGAGAUGUUUUCCACGUCUCAGCCUUCAGUGUUGGAGUGGAAUGAGUGGUUGGUCAACUAAAGGUUAUUCCGACAGAGGGAAAACACAGCGCCACUGCAAACCACAUUCUGACACAAAUCAAACCUCACCUCUCCAUGUAUUCUUACAUUGCAGUACUGGGGCUUUCGAGAGGGCUGAAAGGGCUGUGUGGAGAAAAAGGUAAUGUACUUUCACUGUAGCUUGCAUUACAUACAUAGCAUUUCAACCGGCAAUUGCCAGAGAGAGACGUUCUGAUAUUUUUUCAUCAUAGCUUUAUGUCCACACCUCAGCGGCAGUAGUAUUUUCUCUGACAUGAUCCCGUUCUUUUUUUUGUCCCAGAAGAAGAAAAGUUCACAAUUCAUAGCAAUGACAGCCUCAGGCUUUUAACCUUGUUCAGAGGAGAAGAAUGAUUAAACGGGUGAACACCUUGCACCCCUUAUAUUUCAACCCCCCCCCCCCCCACACACACACACACUCAGUGUGGAAAGCGGCGUUGAGAGAAUCCCAGCAGCUUUUCAUCCAUAACUCCAUCACAUAUGCAGUGGGAUGCUAUAAAUUCUUGUACCUCAGACUCAACUUCAAAAAUGUUGCGCAAAGUCUCCAUGCAAGCAGUAAUCUGAAUCCAAUUCCAUUUAAUUAAAUUUAAUAAGAUUGUCCUUUUUCAUGCAAAAUGCAUUUUGAUUCAGUCUGAAAAUAAAAAAAGACUAAGAGGAAUAAAAGAAACUGAAAAACAAUUCUUUACAUUUCUCAUACAUAUAUAUAUACACACAUCUCAAUUAUUUGUAAAUGUUAUAUAUAUAAAUAAUAAUACAUAAUUGAUUUUCUAGACCCAAUUUCAUCUCAAUAUGAAAAGUAUGUUUUAUUGUGCAAAAAUUAUAUCAAACUUUGAAAUUGAACGUAGUCAUAAUAAAAUUAAAAUGCUAAAUCAGAGUUUCAAUGAAAGGAGUUGACCCUAUUGAUGGACAUUUUUGGAUAAAAUAAAUUUGAAUUAUUAGUUGUGAACCACAUAUACAUUAUUCACAAAAUAGAGGAAUGUUUCCAUCAGAAUAAAUUGUUCAAAAACAAUUAAUUUAAUAAGUUUUGUUAUGGAGAAAACUUUAUCAAAGGUCACCAACAUUUUAGUAUUGAACUCAAUUGGUGAAUGAAUCCGAUGUGAAAGUACUUGUCGUCUAGUUUUAUCAACUAAGUGGAAACCAAGUUAAGUUGUUUUUCAGCAGCAAAACAUAAUUUUGUGACAAAGAAAUUCCGCUAUUCCCUGUAAAUGCGGACAGUCCAUGUUGCGGGUUAAUAAUGACAGGUUCAAUUCGUCUGACUAAUACUGUGAUUGGACAUACACCGCAUAGCGCUCGGACUCAGCUAGCGGUAUUCCGUCGGCGCCCCGUUUGUGCGGUAGACGGCACACUCGCUCCACAUUAGAUCAGCAAUGGCUAAUGGCUGCUCCUGGAUGUGACACAACUGUGGCAGUGAGUGGGCAGAGCGGAAGGAGCUGACCGAGCACUCACCUCUCCCCAAAUACUUUAUUUAUUUAUUCCCACUCUUGGAUUAAAGCGCUUCUGUGGUGAUAACCUACAUAACAGUGGUGUUGUAGUGAGCUCAGGCCUCUUGAUACAGAUAUGAUGAUGGGGCUCAGAGAGAAAGACAAUGGGCCAUCCGUCAGUCCCAUUGGCCCAGAUCAUUACUGAAAUAUUGCACAGACCCCUGAUUGAGCUGUAUUGAGUUUAGCCACUGAAGCUUGGCAUGCUAUAUUGAAAAACUUGGUGACCUAAUCAAAACUAAAAUAUUUCCAAAUCGGAAACUGGGACUGCCAUAGACACUACUGUACUGUAUUCCUGGUUUGUUUAGUGCUUUUGGUGCUUGUCUUUGUUUGUUUUUAUUUAAUCGUUUAUUUAACUUACCAUAGUAAUGGUAUAUAGUUAUGAUUCAAAGUUGAAAUGCUUCUUAUCAGCCGUUCUUGUACAUACAUCAGAAUGUAUUUUGAUACAAAAUACCAAAUACCGCUCAAAUAAAUGUAUGCACGAAAUACUGGUCCAAGAAAAGGUAACGAUACAUGUCAUUUUGUAUUUAAAAUGUAGGAAUUUUUUCUGGAUGUUCUGUUUUCUCACUAUUAGGUAUAGGAGAGCAGUCUGGUUUGGGCUCUAUAAUGUUCACUAUGAAAGCAAAAUAUAGAAUAAAAAACAGUUGUACACAGGUAAAAAGCCUUAAUCCCGUCCAAGAGGCUGUGGUUCCAUAUGUGCUUCUUGAUGGUCCUUCUUGAACAUUAUCUUGCUGAGACAUGUUGUUAACCUGUCCAACUGUAGAAUGUAUGAAAUAAUAAAACUAAGAAUACUAGUACUAAUACUGUAAUGUAAUAGUGUAAUACAUUUUUGUUGUCACAACUGUCACAGCUUAGCUUUUUGUGAACUAUAAUAUCUGCAAGUAAUUGAUAUAUCAUUAUACCAUUGACUUUUAGACAAUACACUAUAACUUGUAAUACAGUGCAAGAUUAGAUGGUCAGACGUCUCUUCAUACAACGUGAUCUGCAAAACCUGUUCGUAAAAAUGUAUACGAAACUCUUGAACAUACAAAUUCGUAACAAUACAUAUGAACUGGCGGUGGUUAACCACGCCCCUUGAGUGAACAACAUGGCGGACCAUGUCGGAUUCUUGAGUGAACGUCUCUCCGCCAUGUUGGAUUUUUUGAGGGGGUUUGGGUUAGUAUUCUAUUCUUACAAGUUAACAUUGAUUUCUCGUUAAAAAUGGAAUCAUAACACGUUUAUUUUACAUCGUUAGACUUCACAAAAUGUGUUUACGGGGUGCAGGUCCCCAUUCACUUUGAAUAGGGUGACGUCAUCAGUUGCAGUCCGUAUUUAUUUCGUAUGUAUCACUACAAAUUUGUAUGUUCAAGAUUUUCGUAUACAUUUUUACGAACAGAUUUUGGAGAUCAGGCUGCUUCAUAAGGUUAUCAUGAACAUACAGACUUACAGAUAAUCUCCCUCUUUCUAUAGCUAGCUAGUUGACUGAUAAGUUAACUUGCUAACCACUGGCUAAGCACUAGCCCAGACAGCAGGCACGUGUACAGACAUUCUGGGGUGCAGGUGCUUAAACCAAAACAAAAGGGCACCCACCAAAAUUAUUCAUGAAAUUAAAAAUACUAAUAAUUAAACAAAAAACACAGUAUGAUAUUUUCAACUUACAUAUUCAUUUUUGCUAACAAACUAACUCAAAUUGAUACAUUAAUGAAUAACAGGCAAAAACAGACAAAACAUGGCUAUAUUGUACUUAAGCAAUAAGGUACGAGAGGCUGUAUUUUAUCAUCUAUGAUGUUACAAUUCGAGGGUUUUGUCAUUAUAAAUAGUAAAUAAAUAGCUGCCUUUCAGCAGAAAAUAGUUGUAGCCACAAAUUGCAUUUCCUCAGCCUAGAGAAAAUAGUCCCCGUACGUGUGGCUGUUGCUAUGCAACAGACCAACAGCUUUGGGAACAUCACGUUAGCCGAAGUUUGUUUGGUCUGAAAACAUCCCAGGUCUCCUUGCAAGAUCUCGCACCAUCUCAUUCAUUCACAUUGCUCAGGAUGUCCACUUGAAUUGUCCUCUUUAGCUAAAAGAUGCCCUAAAGCGGUUGCGAAGGCUUGCAUUCCCCGAAAGCGAUCAUUUGCAGCAUUUCCAGUCUUUUUUUGGCAUUCGCCACAGAGCUAAAACCUGAAAUGACAACUAACGGUUGCGCUGCUGCAGUUCCUCUUCUGCUUUUGGAGUCUCUCUUGGCAUUAUGCUGCAAAUUUAGUAAAUGAGAUAAAUCAACGUUGUGCAUAAUAAUCAAGAGUGACUUAAAUAAUGUCUAUAAGGCCGACAACACACACACAUACUAGAUUAUUUAUUAAUGUUUUCUGACAUGACAGAAUUGAAUCAUAAGAAGCAUUACACUAAUAAUAUACCACAAUAUACCUCACCAGACUGUCAUGUAGCUCAACUUAAGACGUACUUUCCAUUUCAAUAGUUUAAUAAAAUCAAACAAAACUAGUGGACAUGUCUAAUUUGUUAAACAGUAAAAAAUUCUCCUCCUGCUCUCUCUUUAAUUCUGACACAAGUCAGUAAACCGCUGGACAAGGCUUUGAAAUCAUGAAUUUUUGUUUGUUUGUUUUUAAAAAACGUCGUAAUGUUUUCAGCGUCAUAAUGUUUUCAGCACUAAUGUUGUGGUCGGCACUGCACGAGCACCAGGAGGAGGAAGAGGAGGAGGGAGCGGUGCGGUGCGGCAGGGGCUUGUGAGCGCCGCAAAGCAUGUUGGGGCAAAAUUCUCACACUCAAAUAAAUGCCCCAUCAGAAAUCAAAACACAUUUGGGGGGAAUUGAUGACAGAGAGAGGAAUUUUUAUUCUUAAAUAUUGACGAAUGAAGAAAAUAUUGGGCUCCAGCAGAAGGGGCACUUUUCUCAUCCAAGGCAAAGUGCCUGCUAGACAGCAUGCUAGCAUCAUUAGCAUAUUAGCCUUGAUUGCUAGCUAGAUAUUAUAACCAUCACCAUGUUUAUACAAUAGAUUAUGUAGCCAGACCCAGCCAUACAUUAUACAUCAAGCUAUUUGACAUCUGUCACACUCAGAUAAAAUAUUUACCUCUACAGACAAUCGGUUGAACUUGCAGAUCUGAAGUCUGAACUUGUGUACUCUUUUUUGAUUUGCUGAAAAAGUAGUUUGAGUAUUUUAAAUACAAAAUUUCUCCACUCUAAACUGUUUUGCUAUAAAUUGCUUUAAUUUUUUAUGUCAAAUACAUGUAAUCGAAAACUGCCCAUCUCUGGUUGGGUCAUAGUAGGGAGUGAUUGUCGAUCAAUAUUGACUUGGUAGGGCGUCAUCACGUGUCUCAACCAAUGAGAGCAUUUGGGGGCGGGCCUAAGACUUCUGCACCGCUCUUAUGAACCGAAACAGAAGAGAACUGGCGGAGGAAUGGAGAAAGGUAGCGCACUCUUGCGUGGAAAUCUCUUUCAGUCACUCCCAGCUGUGUACUUAGUGCUGGAUCACAUCACCAGGGACAUAACAGGCACACUGAAAGUAGAUUAUUGAUAUACAAUCUUAUUGAUAAAUUGAUUGACUGUUCAGGCUGCUCUUGAUCAAAGAAAAAUGUACCUUUAAAAAGGAAAGAAAAAAUGAUUGUUAAUUACCCUUUUAUAAUGAUAUGAUCUUGGAGGGUAACUAGUUUUUUAUAACAAUGUAGAUAAAAGGUUGAUUCUCUAGCAGUGGCAAAAAGCUUUGGUUUUAUACUUGUUUACAUAAUUUUCUUUUUUUAAAUUGAGUUUAGCUUAAUGAAUGAAAUAUUUGAACUGCUACUAUGUAAAGGGAAUAAGUGUGCAAUUCACUACUUUAUAAUUAUUUCACAAAUUUAGCAGAUUCGCACAUUAUAUUACAGAUCAUUUAGCUGAUGCCUUAUGUGAGUAAUAUGCCUUGUUUUCAUUGUAAAUGCAAUUCAUUUGUAUAUAUAUUGCUAUAUACAUAUAGACUAUUUAUAUAGUACAUUACAGGUCAGUUAGCUGACGCUUUUAUCCAAAGCAACAUACAUGGCUUUUUACAUUUUUGCCCAGCGAGCUAUUAGGGGUUAGGUGUCUUGCUCAGGGACGCUUCGAUAUGGAGCAGCCGGGGCUCGAACUGCCAACCUUGCGAUUCCCGGCGCACCCUCUCUACCCCUGCGUCACGUUGACCCAUAUAUAUACACAUAUAUGUUAUUAUCAUUAUUAUAUAUAGUAUCAACAUUAUUGUUCUUCCAUUUAAUUUUUGUGUGUGUAUUCAUAAGUAAAUACACAAAUAUGUACAUAUAUAUAUAUAUAUAUAUAUAUAUAUAUGUAUACAUACACAUUUUGGUUUAAUGUUGUAGAAUUUUUUAUUCUUAUCUUAAAUUUAUUUCCACCCCUGUGAGUGUACGUUUCCAACAGAGGACCAAGUGGGUCCAUCAGACAGCUUUAGGUUAGAGCAAAGCAGAACAAGGUGAUAUGCUGAGAGCAUGUCGGUCCUUCCUAGGUUAUUGCUCGCCAGCUCUUGCCUGACAGCAUUAAGGGGUGAAAGGUUGGCAUUCUGUCACAGAGGCGGGACUUAGGCCUCCGAGGUAUUACGGCUGUAAUGCUCUCAGGGGGAUGAGGAACGCAUCGGAGAAUAAGGACGCGUUUCACAUGAGACACACAUGCAUGCACAUGCUUCACAUGUUCCUGCAUCACAAUGGGAAAGUCAAAUUGGAAAGUAAACAGUCCCCUGUGGGGCUUCUGUCGCAAGUUCUGAUUAAUGGGCCGGCUGUCUUACAUUUUCACCGUCCUGCCGAUGGCAGCGCUGUCCCAGUUACACUCCACAGAAAAACCAGGCCAAACACAGAUUAUUCUAUGUGGGGAUACAAUAACCGCGCUUGGACAAGCCUUUACAUGUGAUGCGGAUUGAAGGAAUGUACUGUAAGGCACCAGAAGCGGCUUGGUGAAAGAGGCAUAAUCAUUAUCAGAUAGAAUCAACUGAUACAAUUAGUUUAGUUUAGUAAAAUUAGUUUGAAGGAAAAAAGUGCGAUGUGGAUGAGAAAAAAAAACAACAAUCCUCAUGACAGCCAUUUCGACAGGUUGUUGCACCCUGCAGGAACAGAUGUGGACAGAACCAGGUUAACUCUGUCAUGGAAGUACAUCUUCCCCCAUGGCUCCCAUGAUGAACUCCACAUGAACUUCACCCGGUUGAACUCGACUGUAUCUGUGGAACCUAAGCAGAUCAGGCCAUGUGAUUGGAUGAGGCCGGCGCUGCAUAUUUGGAAGAUUACUGAAGCCAGGUCUGGGUUGCUAUGGCUGACCCCGAGGAGUCAGAAAAACGUAAUCGCUCACAAGGCUUUUUAAUUAUCUCAUCAUAUCUGAUGAGUGUCCCUGCCAGGGAUGAGCGGCCCCGAAAACAGAGGCAACAGCUGGACUUAUUUGUUGUUUUUAGUUUAUUUAUUUACUACUUUUUGUGUAUAAUUCUCCUUUUUGAGGAAUGUGAUUAUGUCUGAUAUUGUGAUCUGGUUGAAUUACUGAGUUUAUGUUUUCCUGCAUUACAGUUAUAAUAAUAUUAUUAGAUAUUAAUACAACUUUAUUAUUAUUAUUACUUAUUUAUAUGUUAUGUAUAUAAUAAAUCAAACAAAAAUGAAUACAUUCAUUAAAAUAAUGUAUAUGCAUGUGUAUAAAGUUUCUAUUUGUGGGUUUUCUUUUCAAUAUGUUAAUGUAAUUCCCUCAUAGUGAACUUGUCUUUUGCCGGGUCUCGAUAGUGUAGUCAUUGUACCGCUGCUAUUCGUUUUUUUCACCAGUAUUUUUGUGUUUGCUUUUUUAGGUUGUUUAUCUCUAGUUUUGCUAGAUUUUGUAUUUGUAUUUGUAUUUGUAUAGAUUUUUUGUAUGUACAUUUGUAUACUCAUCCGUCAGUAAAACUUUUCUACUUUAAGCCUAUUAAUUGAUUUACAAAACAUAUGUAGUGCUGUUUGUUAUGAUCAGCAGGUUUAAGUCACACUGUUUCAGUUAAACUGUGUAAAAAGUGUAUAUUUUCCCUAGUUUAUUGUACAUGUAGAUAUUGAUUAUACUAUAAAAAUGUAGAAAGGGUUUAAAAGAUGACUUGUAUGCUUGCUUAUUUAAUUUAAUUUAUAUUCUCAAUUAAAUCAUUUUGAUAUGUGAAAAACUACAAAAUAAAAAAAAAAACUUUAAAUGGUAUUAAACAAGGCACUUUUUAUCCAUAUUGCUAUUUGUACAUAUAUUUUCAACAUCAUUGUUCUUACAUUUAAUUUGUAAUUUUAUAUGUGUAUACUGUUUAUUCAUACGUACGUACACAAAUAUUAUAUAAUAUUUGAUAUCCAUAUAUAGUACAUAUAAUAUAUGUUAAUAUAUUAUUUAUUAUAUGUACUAUUUUUAUGCUAUUUUAUUACUUUCUAUCACUGAUAUUGGAUAUUAGAUCUGUUUGCUUUGUCAAAUGUUGCUUAUUGUUGUAAUGUCUUAAUGACUUAACUUAAUGGAUUUUCUUAUCAAAAUGUAGUGUCAGUCAUGUCAGUCAGUUAAUAAAAGUAUACAUUAAAACAAAAAUAAAUAUAUAACAAAAUACAUAUUCAAACGUUUGUGUAUCUGUAUUGUAUAGACGCUAUGAUAACUGCAGUGUAGAAAUAAAAGUAUAAUAUAUCCAAAAAAUAUUUAGGAUUAGUAUUAAAUCAAAUAAAUGUGUUAUGUUCAGAGAAUCCUUAUUCCAUACAAUAUAACAUGCCUUUUUUAAUAUAAAUAUAUGUUAUUAUAACACAUAUUUUUUUAUUGUUUAACGUAAUAGAGUGCUAUGUGAUUUCACGCCGCAAUCCAGCAAGUAGCCCUCAAGUCAUUUCAGCUGACUGACUGGCCUCUGAUUCAACCUGUUUUUUUGGAUUCAAACACAAACAACUUAGCCCAAAAAAAUCUCCUGACCUCGUGUUCAAACUAACAAACACUUCAGGGUUCAUGGAGAGUUGAGGGAUGCUGAUGCAGAUUUCUGUGAUAGGCCCGGCGAUGGUGGCGCCGGGGAUGAUGCUGAUGACGAUGGAGAGGAGGCGCAUCAUCUGACGUGGAAACAGCAGCACCCUCCUCCUGUCACACUAACCCCUUCCUGAACUCCUGAUGUGUUUGUCCCACGGGCCUUUCCUCACCCCCCGAACAGUCACAUGAUUUUUUCGUCGCUCCCCCCUCCCCGUCCCCCAAUUCCCCUCGUACCCUUCCAAGCUCCCGAACACUGCGUUUAUGUUUGCAAAUGGAUGCAGUGUGGAUUUUUCUUUUUGUCCAUCCAUCCUCUUUCUCUUUGACCUGCUUUUUCUCUUUUUGCCCCAGAGCAAAGUUACAAUGGAAGAAAAAGGGAGGAGUACGACAUACAUUUAUGUGGCAUAUUCUUUUAAGAAAAACGAAUUAUACUGCAACCCGAAAGACUUUUACACUGAUUAAAAUCUCGUCCAAAGUUCUAUUUUCAUAGUUCUUAAAUGUUGUCAUGAAUGUGUUUCAACUACCCUGCGUCCCAAAGUUUCUUUGAAUUAAAGUCACGGCCCUCAGAUCAGUGGAGUAGUCGUCAGCGACCGAGCCGUGUCGGCCCCGGCCAGAGCUGGUGGUGGCGCCCUAACCCCACAGUGGAGCUUCACAGCGCUCUUGAUUGGGACUUUUAGGUCUGUUUCUCUUAAGCAGGGUUUAACACGAGGCAACAGAUGGCACGAGUUUAUAGAUGGAGGCCGUUGGUGAGGUGGAGGGGCGACGGGGGGAUGGAGGGAGGGGGGUACGGGUGGUUACAAGCAGUUUUCCCUCCACUUCUUUUUCUCUCAGUUAAUCCCAGCACUCUGACCCUUGAACGAAGCAACCGGGCACAGUGGUGGCCGACGGCAGGGAUUGAGCACAGUGACUACAGCAGUGGAGUGGAAUAAAGCUUCGCAGAGCUCAACAACUGAGCGCUGUGCUAAACCAAUCGCACGAUUUCAUUUGGGAUGAAAGUGUUACCUUAAAGAACUCGGCCAUCUCUCUCUAAUCGUGUCAUUUUUAGUUAAUCAAUUCAUCAGUUUGUUUCUUAAAACCCUCCAUAUAUAUUUGAUCGGGUUGUGUUAUUGGCUGAAGCUUUUUCAUCUGAAAUUAAUAUCCUUUUCAUUUCGUAAUGUUUUUUGAAUCACUAGUAUUUCAGAACAAAUAAAGCAUUCCAUUACAUAUUUUACUGAGUAUAUGACAAAUAAACUAUUCAAUCACUGUGAUUAUUAUUCAAAAACUAACACCAGCUAUAAUAAUAUAUUGGUACUGAGUAAAGUUAAUGCUGAUGUGAUUUUAAUAAUAAAUAACAUAAUGAAAAAUGUAAUCUCUCUAUGUUUAAAAAUAUUUACAGUUUAAAUAUUUCCAAAAAAUUGAAAAUUACAUAUAUAUAUAAUUAUACAACAAUUUAGUUUUUCAGUAAUUUAAAAUGUAAUUGUAUUAAAUAUGUAUAAUACAUUCGGUAAAAUCAUGAUACUGUUUUAAAAUUGUUUAAAUUAUACAUACCAUAUAUCCAAUAUAAUCAUUUGCAUGAUAUAAAGUUUUAUCAAACUAAUUUUUAUACAUUUCUGCUACAUUAAUUAAGUUUUACUACACUUACGUUUCUCCAGCAUUUCCUAACAGUAUUAACUUUAACACAAUAAUACAUAUUAUUACAUUGAGAGUAAGUAAAGAGUAAACUAAAACUAAAAUGAUCUCCACGGAUGGCUUUCUAGUUUAAAUUUUUCAUAGAAAAAUUCAGAGUCCUGGUUUUUCAUUGCUAAGUAUGUACAGAAUGACAGAAUAUAUGAACUUAAUUAUUAACUUAUAUGCAACCGAUCAAGUUUUUGAGUCAUCAUCAAUUCAAAUUCCAGUGUUAUGUUUACAGUGUCAGUUCGAUAGAUGACUCUCCUCUUGUUAUCUGCUGGAGACUCAUUUCACUGGAAUUCUCCACUCCUGGUCAGUGGGAUUUGUAGACUCCGGCCACAGCACUUGAAAUAUGAUAGACUGCAUAUGUAUGAACCUACAUUAGCAUUCAGCGACAGGCCUCAUGUGCCUGCAGGCCGCAUUGCCUUCAGACGGAGCUGUGCAGGAAGCGUCGCGAGCAGAUAAGGACACCUGGAAGAGGCAGCAAAGGUUCUGUUGUCAAUAAAUUAAUUCCGUGGAACUUUACUGAUUGACUGCUUUUCAAAUGAAGUUUAGAAAUACUUAAAAACCUUGAGCCGUACAUUGGGGAGAGACCUGAGAGCAAGCUUUACAAACGUGACUGUUAAUGAAAGGGUUUAAGGGUUUAAGAAAUAAGGAAUAAAAGGUGAAUGGACUGUACAUCCUCUCCUAUCUCUGUCUCAAAGCUCUUCAACACUACAUGUCUCGCUCUCUCACUAAGCAUGGAGGUAUUUUUUUAUAUUUACGUUCCUCUCCCAGAACUUUUUAAAAAAUAAAACACUUUUAAAAUGAAACAAAGUUCCUUUAUACUAACAGUGAACAUAUAUAUUCCUGCUGCCUCUUCGACUACUUUCUCUCUGGUUACAUCUGCUCCCUGAUAUUAAUAAUAAAUCAGUGCAUUUGGAAAAAUGGCACAACUCUUAGGACAUUUCUACAACUGUAUUUUUAGGUAGUUUUUAUUUCCGGGUUAUUUACUUCACAGGAGACAGCCACUGUGGGCAGCUAUUAGAGGAACAUGCUCUGAGAUUUCAUGUGUUUUCCAUUUCUAGCACACAAGCAAAGCAACAUCCUGCUAAUGUUGUGAUGUAUUUUUCCAUCUGUGACUUUUAUUUUAUUUCUUUGAAUCCAGCGAGCGAGACGGCAGAUAGAGGCAUUACAACAGACUCUGCAUUAAUACUUAAUACCAUAAAACGUUGCUUUUGCAUCCUUUUAAACGGUUCAAAACACAAUAAAAUGGGGUGAUUUCAUUUUGUUAGUACUUUGAACCCAGGCAAGCCAUGAAUAGAAUAUGUGUGUACAUGUUGCAAAGAGAAGCUCACUUUGCUAUUUACACAUGCUCUGCUGAGUGACCUUCAUUUUGUUUGCCUUUUACACAUGCUCUGCAGAGCCACUUUCUGUUUUCUGAUGAGUGGAAAUCAUAUAAAAAAAGCAUUCGUACGUGAAACACAAAUUACAUGAAUGAUAUAAAAUAAAAAACAGCAGAAAGUCAAUAAGCCAAAUAGAAAGUUUCUCUCACUCCUCUGACAAAUGUCUCCGUGACGUAGAAUUACCAGUGUCUGGGAGGCCUCAUGGACCCUGUACAGUCUUGAACUUGUCAAUCAGUCUGUGAAUAAACACCAGGAUAGUGGAACUGGGACACAUCACUUCAACCCAAUAGUAUGACCAUCAUGGGAAUGACGACUGCGUUCAUCUGCAGAGCUCAGCUCUGGAAGUGACCAGUAGGGAUGCUGUUGUCUGCAAUAUCCAACACACACACACACACACACACACACACACACACACACACACACACACAAACACACACAGAGUACCUUUUAAUAUCGUUUCACAGUUACCCAGUCCAAUUAGGUAGAAAUCAGAAAAAAGGCUCAGAAAAGGGACCAUUCACUCUGAAAACUUCACCAACAAUAAAUCUCUUUAGCCUCUCACUCCUCUGUCUCUCUCUGAGCCUCUUGAGUCCCCGGCCCCAUAAUGCCACAUCAAUACCGCAGUGGGAUAGAGAGGCACCACACCAACACGAACAUGCGGUCGACCUCGCUUUGCUCCCUGUAGCCAACGACGGGGAAUAAAAUGUAGCACAAAGGAGGGAUGAUAAAGGUGAGACAUGUCAUUCUGAUUAGAUUUAAAAACAGACGGAGAAAGAAAGCGAAAACAACAAAAGAGGAGUAGGAUGAGAAGGCAGUGUACAGAAGAUCACUGCUUGCUGUGCAGAUGUCACUAAAAUGGCAGCAUGGGCAUAAGUCAGCCAUUAAAAAUGACCACUCUUUGAAAGGCUCCUGUACUGGGGGCAUAUGAGAGCCAGGCGUAACCACCGGUAGCCUGGUAUGUCUCUCAGCCCCUAAUCCUCCACACUGAGGGGGAAAGGCAGGAGCAAUUUAAUUUUUCACAGUUGUUACUAUGGCGGUGGGAACCUGCUGCUGCUGCUCUUUCUGCGAGUCAUAAAGUAUUCAGUCGGCACAGCACUGUUGUUUGAGACUUUUCUCUCCCUUAGUGCAAUUUUAGCCUGGACUUAAAGACUGGCUGUUUUUCACAAAAAACCAAAGGCCUCCAGCUGAGAAAUGCUCACCCCCUUUGAAAAGGUGGCCCAUCACUGGGAACACAGUGUAAGUUAUUAUACCAGCCUGUCCAAAUGAUGUUUUUAAAUCCUCCAGCAACCACAAAAUACUAUAGGGUUGUUUGUAACUCUGUCUGUAACGUACGUUUGACCUCCUGAAUAUAACAAUAUUAAAAAGAACUUGGUUAAUGCUGUAUGAACACAAGUGGCCACUUGGUCCAACAGAACAAGCUGAAAACACAACAUGUCUUAUUAAAACAUGAACACAAACUAUAUUUAACAGGUUGACGUAGACUUAAAAAUACAUAUAUCUUUACGGAAAAUAACUCCAUUUUUUUCAGUUUUUUUUUAAAUUAUAUUCAAAACUAAUUAUCUGUAAAUUAACAUCCCAACUGUUAGUUUAAUAUCUAGCUCAUUAUCUAAGAAUUUAUGUCAAUACUAAAAAUUAAAAAUGUUCAUUGUAAUUUUAAAGUAAAUCAUAUUAUCUUUGUAUUAAUGUGUACUUUUAUAUUCAAAUUCUGUAAUUCUGGAUCUCAAUUUAGCUUUACAUCAAAUACAAACACUUUUUAAAAAAGAGUUCAAAGCUGCACUGCUCCGGCACGUUGUGCCUCUGGCCACACCCAUCAAGUGAUGUCACAGUGAAUAAAAGCCAAUGCCAAUGAUUCUGUCCCAAGUAAACUUCAGUAAAGGCACAGUGUGGAGAGGGUCCUCAGGGUUCAGGGUUCAACCCCCAGCUGGCCCUGACCAAGACCCCUAUCCUCAAGCUAUAAGUCUUACUUAUUGUGAAUAAAGUACUUGAAAGUUACAACCUUAACAGAAUUCCCUAACUUGUGCUAUGAUGGCGGGGUCAUAUGUUGAAGUACUGUAGCUGUUAACGUCUUCAUGUAACAGAGGAUCGGAUGAAUAAGAACAAGAACACAAGGAAAGCUUAAAAAAAAAUCGGUAUCUGACUGAAAAAUAUACAUUAAAAAAUAACUUAAUUUCAGAGAAAUUAAUUUUCCAGAAUGGUCCUACAGCUUUCAUUUUAAUGCGAAAAGAUGUUCCCAAAAAUGUCACAAUAUUAUAAUCUCAUCUUCUAAAAGGAGAACGGAAAUCUCUUGUUUCAGCUCUAUUUCUCUGUGUUUACAUUGUUGUUAUUCAAUUAAUGAAUCCGUUUCCGAUCAUAUUGAUCAUAUUUUUAUUGAUCACUUACUUUCUGUGCCUUCAUUUCAGAGGUGAGUGUGUUUGUUUGCUCAAAAGAAUUGUUGUUUUCUGGUAGUGGAGCAAAGAAAAAAUGAGACAUACUUUGGAACUACUGUCUGAGUGUUUGGUCUCUGUCACCCUAUCUGCCAUGUGUGAGUUUAUCUUACUUGAGUCCCCCAAUGCUAAUUAUUAUACACAUAUUUGGCUGGCUUAGCAUUGUCACAUGAUGUGUCUUAACGGGUCUGUAUGUCUCUUAGACCUCUGGAGACCUGAAAGGCUGAAAAGCUGUGCCGGUUAAAUAUAUUAAUUUUCUCUCUUAUUCUCAUUUAUUGUGAGUCUGAUUCAGAUCCAAGAUCUGUAUCAUGAUGGCUGUCUCUGGUUCUCAUGUAAAAUCCUAACAUCAAGUCAUAAAUCAAGAUUAUGUUAUUUUAAGUGGUCAGUGUGGACAGUGUCAAUUCACUAAAACAACAAUGACAUUUUAACCAGAAUCAAUUUGCUGCCAAUAGUUAUCAUUGACAGCAAACAUUUCAGAUUUGUUAUGUACAUAUGAGCAGGAAAAUACCAAUGUGUUCUCAACCAUUGUCCCUCUUUUCUCAGCUAAUCCUUCUGCUGUCUGCACACAGUCUGAGCUGCUGGAAACACAAGGACUUGUUCUCCUCAGAGCCAAGUAAUCCUUAAGACUAACUCUGAAUGUUUUAAUUAGUUUGGGCCGCAUUGUUGUAUUGUGAUCAAGUUGAGUGCAGUUUUUCUUUGUUUGUGCUACAUUAUGUUACACACUGCUUCUUGUCAAUCACCUGCAACCCACAGGAUUAAAUUAAGGGGAGAGAAAUACGACUGCAAAAAACCUCACACUCAGAAACUCUAUUGCUACAGCAACAUGGAUGAGCUUCUCUUAUGAUGAUCAUAAAGUUUGCAUUUGGCUUUACAUAAAAAAGCAAGAAUCUCAAACUGUGUAAACUGCAGAACAACAGGAAAUACAUUAUUCUGAAAAAAAUGUUCACAGGCCCUUUGGUUGCACUGAGGUUUUUACAAAGAAAAAUAAAAGCAGGCACAAUUUUACAUUUUCACAUUCGAGGAUGUCUUUAUGUAUUGACUAAAUAAUUAUCUCAGUUUUGCCCAAGUAGACUUAUAUUUUAGUUCAGAUUAAUUACUGGUGCAAGUAAAUACACUUAAAAUAUGUGUUUUGAAGCUAUCGGUGUAUCCUUCUGGGGUUAUUAGAGCCAAGACUUACAGAUCAGACAGAGCCAAAGGAAGACAGAGCUCCUCAGCGUGGUCUAGGCGCCACGUUGGGGGCUAAUUAAAGAGAUCAAACUGAUUUAACACUGCUGUCAUAGAUCAAAUGACUACCAGUCCAUAUUUGCCAUGGGAAUGAUAGAGAAAUCAAUGUGUAACCCGAUUAGGCAAGGCACAGGAACAAACUCAACCCCAAAAAAUUGCUCGACAGGUUUGAACCAGCCAUCUGUGAGGUGACAGUGUUAACUACUGUGCAACCAUGUUAGCUGGGAUUGACUCCGGGCGGACCAACACCGUCUGGGCAUAGGUGGUAUAGAAGAUGGAUGGAGGAAAAUUAAUUUGACAGUGCAAAGUGAAAACAGUGAUUCUCUCGUUGUUUUUCUAUUAAGUGAAGUCCUUUGAUUUCUGAACGGCGAUGAUAAAGGCGGGCUGUUUAAUUGUUAUCAUGCCAACGUAUUUGCGCUGUAUUCCCUCCUGCAGGGAAUGUGUGUGUGUGUGUCUCUGUGCAUUUGUAUGUGUUGGUGGUUGGACCUUGUGGCAUUGAUACCAAUCAGGAUGUCCAAUCAGUAGGAGCCCAUCAACUGUUACUGCUCCUGCAGCCGCAUCAGAUGUAAAUGUUAAAGGAGCAGUAUACGACCCAUCAUUGGCGGACCACAAGGAUGCGCGGAUGCCAUCCUGGGAGAUGAAAAGCGCCAUUAACUGUCUUUGUAGGGUUGCCCUCUGCCAUCCUUCUAGGUGUAUGUGGAUAGCAAGACCGGGUAAAUAAACAAACCAACGACUUCCACAUACAUCAUUCUCUAGGUUGUCGUUGUCAAAAAACGUUACUCCUUUUAGAACCAUGAAUUGAAACGAGAACUGUGCAAAAAGCCGCAGCUGCAGUACCAUGCCAGAGCCUUUACUCCUGAUAAAGCCCCUAGAGGGGCUGGUCCUCCGCCCCCUGGUGAGCUCCUCUUGGGACCCACUUCAGGUCGCCUCCCCAGCUGGAAUCGGGGUAGAUGUCGCCCUUAUCUACCUGCGACAAAGAUACUUUUCCUUACCUGGAAAAGGCUGCGAGACAUUUUAUUUGACUUCCUCAGUGCAUUCAAUACCACACAAGGUGGAGGCACACAGGAGGAGGAUGGCUGCUGUGUACAGCUCCUUAAGCCCCCCCCCCCCCCUCCUGGUGUGUGAAGGAAAGGUACUGCACGUACUUCCUUUUUGCUGCUGUCAGACUGCACAACAGCUCUGCUCCCAGUACACCACAAAACACUGAAAGCACUUAAACUCGAAUGCAAUAUAAAUACACUCGGCGAUACCAGCUGUGUGCCCGUACCAUGGCACGACACAAAGAGUUUUGGAAUGACUUGCUGCUGCAGGACAUGAAACCCUUCAAGGAAUUGGUCUUCGCAUCUAUGUGCAAUUUCUCCCCCUCUUUGUGAUAUAGCCCCAGAAGCCAGAGUUAAAAAUAACUACGAAUUCUUCCCUUCCAAAUCGACUCUGGUCAUUGAAAGAUUAAGUCUUUAGUAUUUUCAACAAACGUUCUUUACAGUUUGGCUGCGUCAAACAAUGGAAUUAAGGAUUCAAGUCCGCCACCAUUCAGCUGUCCUCUUCAAAUCAACCUUUCCGAACCAACUCACGUGGGUGAUGAUGCCCCAUGAUGGUCAGGUUAAGAUGACAGCGUCUGCAGUAAACUUUCUUUCAGGUUUGGCUUUGUUGACCGAUAGGAUCAGGGAUCCAGACUCUCCAGCUUUCCCUAUCCAACCCCACAUUUCCCGGACCAACCCUCGUCGGUGAGACCCAUCCUCUCACUGCUCCCGAGAGGCUUCGGCUUCCUCAGUCCUCACUUUCGGCCCAAGCAGCUCAAAAAGGAAGAUAACUUAUUCCACCCCCUUUGCUCCAGCUUAGAGAGCGCGAACACCUACUGCGUCAUCAAGAAACGCAACGGUUUCCAAGGUCCCCAAUUAAUCCUUGCAACAAGGAUGGCGUGGACGUCGAGUUAAACGAAAGUCACGCAGUAAACACAGCAAACCCUAUCAAUGCCCAGUAAGGCUUAGAUGUCUGGGCAGACGUUAGGUUAGCAUGUGUUGAUGUUUUUGUGUUGAUGUUUACUGUAUUGUUUAAGGAAGUUUAAAGUUUUAAUAGUGUAUGUUCAUGACCUGCCGAGCUUCGCUACAUGCAGUGUGUAUAUGGUUCUGUGGUAUAAUAUGUUAUUGGGCAGAUUUUCAGGCCCCAGAGCCCGGUAAAUGCUGUGUAAUUACCACAGUAUUUUCUGCUGUAAUAUUCUGUUGGUUUGAUAGAUCGAUCCCCAAAAAUGAGACCGGCCUUUGGAGCUUGUAUCUAUUCAGAGCGAACAAACUAAGUUUCCAAGUUCCAUGACUGCGAUUAUGAUUGAGUGUCAAGAAGGUGCUGGGGAUAAAGGCAGGACUCAAACGCAGAGUUUUUCAAAAAGAAAAAGGGACUUUAAUCGUCAAAAAUUCCAAACUCAAAAAAGCCAAGGGGCAAAAACCCAGUCGAGGAGCAGGAGACAGGAACUAAGCCAUGACCAUGGGCUUCCAUACAAUUAACAAUGACGCGACAAGUGACAAUAGACACACAUGGUUUAAAUACACUAGGGAGGUGCAGGUGAUUGGACACAGCUGGAAACAAUCUUGAUGCGACAGACAAUCACGGGGGGAAUGACAGGACAAGGCAGGAAGUGACGGGACCCAGGGAGACAUGAUGCUACUACAAAAUAAAACAAGACGUGAACCCAAACCGUGGCAUUGAGUGCUUUCUUAGUUGUAUCUAACUAACCAAUACACACAUACCUCCACAUAUAUAGAUGUACCUACAGACAGAGGCUUUACUACACUAGGAACACCUGGUAAAAACACAGCCUCCUAGCAACUGCCAGUUUGUGGCCACACAUGGUCUGAUUAGGGUUGUUAGCUCAGCCCCCCUUCCUCACUCAUAUCUCCCCCUUCUUAUUUCACACACACACACACACCCUUCCCAUUUCUUCCCUCAUAUUUCAGAUCCUGUGGCUCCCCUUUCUUAUGAAUAUCUCAGAAAGAGCUUUAUUACCUAGGUCACAGGAAACACCUCAUCCAAAUGUCUUUGUCAAGUAAAUCAUGGGUAAAAACAAUUACAUUAAUAAAAGAUAUCACAAAUAUAUCGAGGCAAGAGAGCCUGUGAGGGACGCAUUAGACACAUUUUCAAGUCAAGAUGAAUAACAUUCAUCCUUGUGGUCCAGGAUUUUCCGGGCCGUGAUAAGAGUUGGCUUAGUGGGGGUGCCUUGGCUGAACCCAGGCCAGCAAUAAUGCAUCCCUCAUCCAACUCCACAGUCCACCCCUGAGGCUCUGGCCGAGGACAGGGCUUGCUAACCAGAUGUGCCGUGCGGUAUCCAGGGAUGGUUUGGUUGUUCAGCAUGUACAGUAGUGUGUAAUUACACAACAGUAGGAAACAACAACAAAAAAGUACACAAACAGAUUGAGAAACAGGUCACGGGCGCUAAAUAUAUACACAGUCUGUAACACACACAGAGAAUAUCCACAUGGAAGAAUUAGUUGUCCUGAGGCUACUUUUACUUCCAGAAUAGGUUUAUUAGACAUACCACAGAUGGGCAAUCUGUAUUCUGGCCAAGUAAAAUCCCUGUCAGCCUCACUAAAAGCUAAAAGAAGAACUUCUCAGUAGGUGGCAGAUUGCAGAUUGGCACACAGAAUAUUUGCACUGGAUGUCUAAUUAGCAAGUGAUGCUAAUAGCCACACCUAAUUUACUUUAACAUUACAAAGUAAUUAUUACCAUUUUACAGCCUGCUGACACCGGAGGCGAUAGUAUGGCAUAAUGAUAGAAUGCAGUCACAGUUUUUGGGGGGCAGUUUGGAUGAAAAGAUAUUUCCCAAACGAGACAGCUGUGGUUUCUUUUGUGAAAACUGACAAACUUCAAUAAAGCCAAAAGAUUAUAAAGUACACUUUUUAAACCUCAUCAUCUUUGUUCACGGGGAAAUGUUAAAAAAUGUCAAAAUGUCAAAAUCAUGAAAACAGAAAAACACCCAAAAGUACAGAAUAAUAUAUGGGACGGUUAAUUAAAUACGUGAGAUCCUUCAUGACUUUACCACUAGGUCACCUGGACAUCAGGGAAACACCAGUGUAACCGUAAUAAUGUGUUAAAUGUAUACAACUUGUCCAGGCUGUCUUCAUACACUGGUCAUAGCCAUACCAACAAAAAAUAAUGCUGUGUAAUUAUUAUAUGUGUAUAUGUCACCACAUGGGUGCCCAAAGGCUUCUCUGUACACCAACUGUCUCGGCUCUGUCAUCAACUCACAUGGCUUCUCCCACCAUAGCUAUACUGAUGACACCCAACUCCUUUGUUUUUUUCCCUCUGAGACAGGUAGCAGCAAUAAUCUCUGCCUGCUGAACUGACAUCUCUCAGUGGGUUGGCCGCACACUGCCUGAAGAUUUAACCUUGACAAGAAAGGCUCUCUCAACAACCCGACCUUUGACAACUUUGUCCAGACCCUAACACUUCUGCGGGAGUCCUCAGCGGGACACUCAACAGUCAACUUCCAACUCCCUCACUACAAACAUUGCAGCAACAACACAAUCAUGUAGAUACAUGCUGCACAACAAUAAGAGAAAACGUCCCCUUCUCACUCAGAAGGCGGCGCACAUUCUGUUACAGGCUCUUGUCUGUGUGUUAUCUCACACCUUGACUAUUGUAUCCAGAAUGCAGCAGCUUGACUGGUCUUUAACCUAAAUUCGGCCACAGAGAUCACCUCCCCUCCCUUCACUGGUUAGCGGCCUAAAUUUGUUUCAAAACAUUCAUACCGAUGACCUAAAGACACCAGAAGAGCCUAUAGAGCUUCCGACACAAACUAAAAAAAAACUUCUACCGCCUAUACCUGGACUGUACUUUAUUAGCACUGCUCUUAGUAGUUUGGCAUUCUUGAAGAAAUUGUACUUUCUUGAUCCUCUUGGUCGAAUGCACUUAUUGUAGUCAGCUAAAUGAAAAACGUAAUGUAAAAUGUAAGCUCAAUACGUAUGUGACUCAACGCAACUUCUGUUAUUUUAACAUGAACCCGAAUGUUUAAACAACUCGUUUAUUGGACAGAAUAUCCGAGUAAAACUUGCACCAAAGUUGAGCAUUCUGGAUUUUCAGGUUUUCCAAACAAUGUGGGCAGCUGACCCUGAUGGGAGGGAUAUAUUAUGAUUUGUUGUUCUUUUUAUACAAACAGUAAAAGUAAUUUUUGGUUGACUUCCUAUUUCAUUUGGAAGUUGUUAUCUGACUAAACAAUAGUGCAGACGGAAACGAACAAAAUGUUUUUAGGCUGACAAGUUUGGUUGUUCAGUCCUCAGCAGGGUUCAGAUUAGCUUUACUUUUUACUUUGCUAGCAGUGUUGUUUAAUUUUUCGAAGUGAGUUUUUUCCUAAUUUUAUUCAUGUGAUAUAUAUUUUUUAAAUGUUAUACUUGUUAUAAAGCAAUCGAUGCAUUGGUGUUUCUAAUUGCAGGCUCUGUCUCUAUUCUGUCUGAUCGGACCCUUUUGAGAGUGAUUAUGCAUAUCACAAUCCCCUGAGUGAUGAAUAUGUUUGUGACAAUUGGAGGAUUGGCUCUUUGAUCCCCUGCUCUGUUAGCUCAUGCCGUUGUGUCCUUUGACUCUUAACCACCAAAAUUGCUCCCGUAGCUGUGACUACUGUAUUCAGUAUAUGAGUCGGUAUGAAUUGGUGAAUGGUGACAUGUAGUUUUAAAGAGCGUUGAGUGUUCGGAAGACUAGAAACAAGAUAUACAAUCCAUUUAUAAGUAGUCUGUGUAGUCCUCUGUUAAAGACAAGAUGGAAAAAAUGCAAUAGAUUUGAUGCAUACAGAAAGAACAACGUAAAUGUUGAAGCCCUGCAAGGAAUUUGUCCUCACACCUGCGAUUUCCUUCUUGCUGGAUUAGCCCUGAGAUCGGUAAAGCCACAGACACCGCAGGGAUCCCUGUGCUCUGGACCGAGUUGAGAAGACAUUCCUCCUCUAAAAACUAUUUCUGAAUCAACUCGCGCUGAUGAUUUAUUAAGAUGACAGAUCUCCUUCAAACCAACUUUCCGAAUCGACUUGUGUCUAGGUAAGGUUAAGACUGUAGUUUCUCUUCAAACCAACCUUUCUGUCUCCAGUACAUUUUCUUUCUUAAUUGACUUGCGUCAAUGAUGGGUUAAGGCAACGAUAUCCUUUAGACCAACUCCAAAUCGAUGCGUAUUGAGGAUUAACAGAGUUGGCAGAUUUCGAACCUUUACUGCUCAAUGUCCCAUGUCCAAGUGUUCCUGAGCAAGACACCCAAACCGCUAACUGCUCCCCGGGCGCCCACACUGCUCCCACGGUGUGGGAUGUGUUAAAAUGCAAUGAAAGUCACUUUGGAUAAAAGCGCCAGCAAAAUGACAUGUAAUGUCUUAAUGAGUGAAUAUAGAUUAUGAGAAUUAAUUCAUGGUUUGGUUAUUCGUCCCAUUUUAGGGUUGUGCCCCAUUAUGUAUUUGUUUUGUUAAUUAUCUUAGUAAUUAUUAAUAAUUCUAAUAAUGUCAAUGAUUUAUUUUCCUACUAGCUAUUAACCAAAAUAAUGCCCCUACACCUAUACCAAAACGCAAUUUAUUUCCUGAACUGUUCUCUCCACAGAUCGUCAACCUGGUCAAUCUCCUGUCUCCUUGCCCACAGCUUCUAUAAGAAUUCACAUCUCAUUAAUGCACAUCACUACCUCAGCUUCAGCUUCUUCCCCGAAGUCUUUUUGCUUUGCUGCAGCACAGGUUUUCCAUCGAUCAUUGUCAUAUCUGGACCCUGGUCCUGCCUCCUGCCAUGGCCCUGCUGAUACCUGCUUGUGCUAUCACUAUCAUCAUUAAUAUUACUUGCACUACUAUUACUACCAUCAUUAAUUAAUGUUACUGACUUUGCUUCUUCUUUCCUCGCCGUCUUUGUGCUUUCCCUCCUCACAGGUUUCUGCGGAUGGUGGUUACAUCUGGUGGUCAUAUCUUAUGGUGGUUACAUCUGAUAUAUCUGUCUUUCUACUUUCAAUAUUUGAAAUAUUUUUCUUGUAGGAAUUGAACAUAUUCUACAUGUGUUUACGGUGUUGAUUCCGUACACAUGAUAUCCAUUGCAUUCUAUCCUACCCGGGAGAAUCCCUCCUCUGCCUUUUUCUCUAAAAUGUCCUCCUUGUUUCUUCCUGUUUUUAGAGGUUUUUCUUGUGCCAAUGUGACUGUUUUGGGACAGAGAGUGUCUCAUGUGUAUGGACUGUAAAGCCCUCUGAUCAAAUUUGUAAUUUCUGGAAUCAGGAACAUUUAUUGCCAAAAUAUGUUAGACAUGGAAUGAAUUGAGUUGAAAUGUAAAAGGUUGCAAUGAUCAAUGGUUUCAAACGUAGAACCAAGGUCCAAAAAGACCAGAACAGAGAAGAGUUCUAUGUCGGAUAAAAGUAGAUCAUUUCAUCAUUAUAUAACCAGUCGGAGCUUUCCAUUAACGUUUCUGCUCACCAGCCACUACAGCUAGUGGUUUUCCAAAGGUACUAGCCACUCAGCAGUUUCAUUAGCCACAAUUUUUGUUCUUGGUAAAUUUUGUUAAAGUUGACUACAGUUUUCUACAACUUUUUAAAUGUAAAUGACUAAUGUUAACACAAAUCAAGAAACAUAAAAUGUAUAUGUGCAAUCACCAAUUCUUCAGCUCUUAGAAGUAUGUCAGUUGCAUAGGUUUUCAUACAAAGAGUAGCUCAUUGCAUAUAACUGGUGCAGGGGUGCUACAUCCUCCAAAGCGGUGGUCCCCGCCGGUCCGCAGACAGAGAGAGAGACGUCAGCCCCGUGAGGUCUGACAUGUUGAUUGGCUACAAACAUGAACAAACUCACACAGAAAGAAAGAAAGUCACACAUACACACCACAACACAUACCAGAACUACACUGAAAAUAAACGAAAUAACAGAUAGAAAACGCUGUCAAAGAAUUCACCUCACGCUCCGUUCACUCAGCACUCCUACCUUUAUUUAACGUAAAACAAUAUCAAUAAGUAGACAAUAUAGCAGGUAUAUAAUAUAAAACAUAUAUAGUAUAAUUAAUAUAGUAUAAUGUAUAUAGUAUGAUCAAUAUAAUAUAAUCAAUUGGUCGAUCUGGACUCCACCGUUGUCCUCCAGCAUCUCCUCCUCUAUCAGUGGGCCACCCCUGCUGGGUGUAGUCUCCAGCUCCCUUCUUGGUGCUGCCAUGCCGAGCGGAGCGAGAAGUAAUCCUCCAACCUCACUCUUCUCUCGUUCUGCUGGUGACCAUCCCACCGGAGGAGAUGCUGGUGGCAGAGCCCCACCCCGAGGAGGACUCCCCACCUCCCGCCUCCCCUCUGCUUGCCGCCCCCCCCUCCUCUUUUUGCCUGAGAGCCUCCCCUGCUGGCCCUCGUCUUCCUCUUCAGGUGGGGGACCUUAAAGCCCACCCCCCCCCUCCUCCAUAUCCUCCUCGCUGUCCGAGAUUCCACCUCGGAACGCACCCCCACCAACGAGCGCCCCCCGAGCUCCUUCAGCUUCCUGUUGGACCCCCAUCCCCUCUUUCACUCUGUCACACUCAUUCCCUCACCCC